rnacentral:rRNA from 1 species
GACGAGGGAUCCUAGCGUUGCUCGGAAUCAUUGGGCGUAAAGCGGGUGUAGGUGGCUUGACAAGUCAGGUGUGAAAGCCCAGGGCUCAACCCUGGAAGUGCAUUUGAAACUGUCGAGCUUGAGUGCUAGAGAGGUUAUUAGAAUACCUGGUGUAGUGGUGAAAUACGUAGAUAUCAGGUGGAACACCGGAGGCGAAGGCGGAUAACUGGCUAAACACUGACACUGAGACGCGAAAGUGUGGGGAUCAAACAGG